CUCUGUUCACGGAAAGGGCCUGGGAGCUGCAACACCUCAACAGCAACAAGCACACCUGCUACCUAGAACUUGGUUUCUAAAAACCAUCCUCCUCUAAAAGGAAACAGAGCUCUUUGAAGAAAUGCAGAAGGUAAGCAUGAGCAAAUCACUUUUUAGAGGUAACUUUGCUGGACUUGUGAAGAAUGGUGUGCAAGGUCCAGAGCGACUGCAGGAGAGGGAAGGUGGGAUUCCCACAGAGCAGGAGCACAGAUGAGCCAAGCAAGGCCCUGCUUAGAAGGCAGCAAUCAACAGAGAUGCACAGACCUGUGAGGGUGCCGGGACAGCCAUGCAACAAUGCAGCCCUUUUGCUUCCUAAGGUCACCAGUUCCCUCGCUCCACCUCUGAGAGGUGGUUUGGAGAAACACAGCCCUUCUCAAGAGGGUUGCAAGAGCAGACCACAAAGAGCAUGUCUGGACCUAGAACCACAGCAUGUAACCUCGGAAGCAGUGAGACACCAGCCAGCAUGGACAAGCAGCAGGCACUUGCUCUAUACCAGAUAGGUCCCACCUCCAGCCUUCCCCUGCUGCCAUCUAACAUCCUAAACUCCAGCUCUGAAUGUCUGUCUCCU
rnacentral:lncRNA from 1 species